AAUUCUCAAAGAAUAAAUAAAAUAUUGCAUGAGUCUCUCUCUGUCUCUGUCUCUCUGUUUCUGUCUCUCUGUCUCUCUGUCUCUCUGCCUCUCUCUCUCUUUCUCUCUCUCUCUGUGUGUGUAUGUAUGUGUGUGUGUGUGUGUGUGUGUGUGUGUGUGUGUCUGUGUCUGUGUCUGUGUCUGUCUGUGUUUAAAAAGGAUAAGCAGAUAUACUCUGUAUGGAUGGAUACAGCGGUUCCAGUGCCAGGAUGGGUAUUUCCUUGUGAGUUCUUGCCCAAAGAGGAACCAGAGGCACUUGAAAAAUUCAGGGGAUUGCCAUUGUUUGUCUCUUCAGGAGCAGCUGAAAAAUCCAAGGGGACUUAUGGAAUAUCACAGCACACUAGAAGAUAUAUUGGCAUGUUCGUUGAUCCUUCAAGUGAUGCCUCCCUUUGCAAAGAUCAUGUUGCUCUUGAAAUCUGAGGUGAAAUCUGAAGAAUCCUACAAUAGAUCUGUACAUCAGGUGCAACACCACUGUCGGCUUCAGUAAGAAGCUCUGGAAAAGCAACAAGUACACAACACUUGUAGACAUCAUGGAAGAAGGUUGUAAAUCUGCACAGAGAUUGACGCUGUCAGUUAUGAUGGUGAAGACACUAGGGCACAGAAGGGCAGAAUAUGCAGCCCGGGACACACGACUCAGCUCAUUAGUACUCAGUUCUGUGAUUUGAAACCCACAAUAACUUUCCUCUCCAUCAAAGCCAUAUAAUAAAAAUCAAACACAAAUGAUCCUAA